UACGAAGGGGGCUAGCGUUGCUCGGAAUCACUGGGCGUAAAGGGUGCGUAGGCGGGUCUUUAAGUCAGGGGUGAAAUCCUGGAGCUCAACUCCAGAACUGCCUUUGAUACUGAGGAUCUUGAGUUCGGGAGAGGUGAGUGGAACUGCGAGUGUAGAGGUGAAAUUCGUAGAUAUUCGCAAGAACACCAGUGGCGAAGGCGGCUCACUGGCCCGGUACUGACGCUGAAAUACGAAAGCGUGGGGAGCAAACAGG
rnacentral:rRNA from 1 species